rnacentral:rRNA from 1 species
CGAAGGGGGCAAGCGUUGUUCGGAAUUACUGGGCGUAAAGGGCGCGUAGGCGGCUCUUUUAGUCAGGGUGUGAAGGCCCUGGGCUCAACCUGGGAGUGGCACUUGAUACUGGAGGGCUAGAGAGUGGGAGAGGUUGGUGGAAUUCCCAGUGUAGAGGUGAAAUUCGUAGAUAUUGGGAAGAACACCGGUGGCGAAGGCGGCCAACUGGACCAUUUCUGACGCUGAGGCGCGAAAGCGUGGGGAGCAAACAGGAUUAGAUACCCUGGUAGUCCACGCUGUAAACGAUGAGUGCUGGACGUUGCGGAGCUUGCUCUGCGGUGUCGUAGCUAACGCGAUAAGCACUCCGCCUGGGGAGUACGGCCGCAAGGUUG